rnacentral:rRNA from 1 species
GAUGAACGCUGGCGGCGUGCCUAAUACAUGCAAGUCGAACGAAACUUCUUUAUCACCGAGUGCUUGCGCUCACCGAUAAAGAGUUGAGUGGCGAACGGGUGCGUAACACGUGGGCAACCUGCCCAAAAGAGGGGGAUAACACUUGGAAACAGGUGCUAAUACCGCAUAACCAUAGUUACCGCAUGGUAACUAUGUAAAAGGUGGCUAUACUACCGCUUUUGGAUGGGCCCGCGGCGCAUUAGCUAGUUGGUAGGGUAAAGGCUUACCAAGGCAAUGAUGCGUAGCCGAAUUGAGAGGUUGAUCGGCCACAUUGGGACUGAGACACGGCCCAAACUCCUACGGGAGGCAGCAGUAGGGAAUCUUCCACAAUGGGCGAAAGCCUGAUGGAGCAACGCCGCGUGGGUGAAGAAGGUCUUCGGAUCGUAAAACCCUGUUGUUAGAGAAGAAAGUGCGUGAGAGUAACUGUUCACGUUUCGACGGUAUCUAACCAGAAAGCCAUGGCUAACUACGUG